rnacentral:rRNA from 1 species
AGCCAGCAGCCGCGGUAAUACAGAGGUCCCAAGCGUUGUUCGGAUUCACUGGGCGUAAAGGGUGCGUAGGUGGCCGGGUAAGUUCGAUGUGAAAGCUCGGAGCUCAACUCCGAAAUGGCAUUGAAUACUAUCCGGCUGGAGGGUCGGAGGGGAGACUGGAAUUCUCGGUGUAGCAGUGAAAUGCGUAGAUAUCGAGAGGAACACCAGUGGCGAAGGCGAGUCUCUGGACGACACCUGACACUGAGGCACGAAAGCUAGGGGAGCAAACAGGAUUAGAUACCCUGGUAGUCCUAGCUGUAAACGGUGCACGUUUGCUGUAAGAGGAAUCGACCCCUUUUGUGGCGAAGCUAACGCGAUAAACGUGCCGCCUGGGGAGUACGGUCGCAAGAUUAAAACUCAAAGGAAUUGACGGGGGCCCGCACA